UACGGGGGGGGCAAGCGUUGUUCGGAAUUACUGGGCGUAAAGGGCGCGUAGGCGGUUUGCUAAGUUGGAUGUGAAAACUCUGGGCUUAACCCAGAGCCUGCAUCCAAAACUGGCAAACUUGAGUACUGGAGGGGAAAGCGGAAUUCCUGGUGUAGCGGUGAAAUGCGUAGAUAUCAGGAGGAACACCGGUGGCGAAGGCGGGAUCCUGGGCCAGUACUGACGCUGAGGAGCGAAAGCGUGGGGAGCAAACAGG
rnacentral:rRNA from 1 species